rnacentral:rRNA from 1 species
UAGGGAAUUUUGCGCAAUGGGCGAAAGCCUGACGCAGCAACACCGCGUGAGGGAUGACGCUUCUUGGAGUGUAAACCUCUGUCAGUGGGGACGAAUUUAUGACUGUACCCACAAAGGAAGCAUCGGCUAACUACGUGCCAGCAGCCGCGGUAAUACGUAGGAUGCAAGCGUUGUCCGGAUUUAUUGGGCGUAAAGAGUUCGUAGGUGGCAUAUUAAGUCUGAUGUUAAAGCCCGGAGCUCAACUCCGGAUCUGCAUUGGAUACUGGUAAGCUAGAGUACAGAAGAGGCAAGGGGAAUUCCCAGUGUAGCGGUGAAAUGCGUAGAUAUUGGGAGGAACACCGGUGGCGUAAGCGUCUUGCUGGUCUGUUACUGACACUGAGGAACGAAAGCCAGGGGAGCGAAUGGG